UGCUGCCUCACAACAGCUGCCUCACAAC
rnacentral:piRNA from 1 species